CCUACGGGGGGCAGCAGUAGGGAAUAUUGCUCAAUGGGGGAAACCCUGAAGCAGCAACGCCGCGUGGAGGAUGAAGGUUUUCGGAUUGUAAACUCCUUUUGUUAGAGAAGAUAAUGACGGUAUCUAACGAAUAAGCACCGGCGAACUCCGUGCCAGCAGCCGCGGUAAUACGGAGGGUGCAAGCGUUACUCGGAAUCACUGGGCGUAAAGAGCGCGUAGGCGGGAUAGCAAGUCAGAUGUGAAAUCCUAUGGCUUAACCAUAGAACUGCAUUUGAAACUGUUAGUCUAGAGUAUGGGAGAGGUAGGUGGAAUUCUUGGUGUAGGGGUAAAAUGCGUAGAGAUCAAGAGGAAUACUCAUUGCGAAGGCGACCUGCUAGAACAUAACUGACGCUGAUGCGCGAAAGCGUGGGGAGCAAACAGGAUUAGAUACCCCUGUAGUC
rnacentral:rRNA from 1 species